AUAUAAGUCGAGCGGAUCUUCAUUACUUGUUUUUGAUAUCAGCGGCAGACGGGAGAGUACACGUGGGCAACCUGCCUGUAAGGUGGGAUAACUUCGGGAAACCAGAGCUAAUACCAGAUAAUCCUUUCCCUCUCUGAGGGAAAGCUGAAAGACGGUUUCGGCUGUCACUUACAGAUGGGCCCGCGGCGCAUUAUCUAUUUGGAGAGGUAACGGCUCACCAGGGCGAAUGCAUACCACCUGAGAGGGAGAUCGGCCACUGGGACUGACACACGGCCCACACUCCUACGGGAGGCAGCAGUAGGGAAUCUUCCGCAAUGGACGAAAGUCAGACAGAGCAACGCCGCGUGAGCGAUGAAGGCCUUCGGGUCGUAAAGCUCUGUUGUCAGGAAAGAACAAGUACCAGAGUAACUGCCGGUACCUUGACGGUACCUGACCAGAAAGCCACGGCUAACUACGUGCCAGCAGCCGCGGUAAUACAUGUGGCAAGCGUUGUCCGGAAUUAUUGGGCGUAAAGCGCGCGCGCGGUUCCUUAAGUCAGAUGUGAAAGCCCCCGGCUCAACCGGAGAGGGUCAUUGGAAACUGGGAAACUUGAGUGCAGAAGAGGAGAGCGGAAUUCCACGUGUAGCGGAGAAAUGCAUAGAGAUGUAGAGGAACACCAGUGGCAAAGGCGUCUCUCUGGUCUACUGACUCUGACGCGCGAAAGCGUGGAGAGCAAACAAGAUUAGAUACCCUGGUAGUCCACGCCGUAAACUAUGAGUGCUAGUGUUAGAGGGUUCCGCCCUUUAGUGCUGCACACACGCAUUAACACUCCCCCUGGAGAGUACGGCCGCGCUGAACUCA
rnacentral:rRNA from 1 species